GAUGAAGAACGUAGCGAAAUGCGAUACUUGGUGUGAAUUGCAGAAUCCCGUGAACCAUCGAGUCUUUGAACGCAAGUUGCGCCCGAAGCCAUUAGGCCGAGGGCACGCCUGCCUGGGCGUCACACGUCGUUGCCCCCCCAUCUACUCCUUCGGGAUUGCGGGGGGCGGAUGAUGGCCUCCCGUGCGCCUCGCCGCGCGGUUGGCAUAAAUGCCAAGUCCUCGGCGACGCACGCCACGACAAUCGGUGGUUGCGAAACCUCGGUUGCCAGUCGUGUGCGGUCGUCGCGCAUCGAGGGCUCGAAAAAAUUGCCGGGUUCCGGCUCGGCUUUCAACGCGACCCCAGGUCAGGCGGGGUUACCCGCUGAAUUUAAGCAUAUCAAUAAGCGGAGGA
rnacentral:misc_RNA from 1 species